UGACGGCCCACCAAGGCGGCGAUGCCUACCGCGCGUGCGAGCGUGGCCCGGCACACUGGGAGUGAGACACUGCCCAGACUCCUACGGGAGGCUGCAGUCGAGAAUAUUCGGCAAUGGGCGAAAGCCUGACGCAGCAACGCCGCGUGCGGGAUGAAGGCUCUCGGGUCGUAAACCGCUUUCAGCAGGAACGAAAUUGACGGUACCUGCAGAAGAAGCACCGGCUAACUACGUGCCAGCAGCCGCGGUAACAAGUAGGGUGCAAGCGUUGUCCGGAUUUAUUGGGCGUAAAGGGCCUGUAGGCGGCUUGAUAAGUCGGGUGUGAAAAAACACAGGAUCAACCUGGAGACGCCACCCGAUACUGUCAUGGCUAGAGUAUUGUAGGGGAGUGCGGAAUUCCUGGUGUAGCGGUGAAAUG
rnacentral:rRNA from 1 species